CGGUCCUUGUUGGACGCGAUGACGCGGAGCCAGUCGCGGACGUUGUGCUUCUUCAGGAACUUCUUGGUGAGGUACUUGAGGUAGCGCUUGGACAUGGGAGCGUCGGAGGUGACGGUCACCUUGGUCUUGUCCGCGGCGACAGAGACGACGUCGCCGAGGGCGCCAGCCUUGCCGCCGACCUUGAUGCGCUCGGCGAGGAAGGUCUCGAAGGAGGAGAUGUCCAUGAUCUUGUCCUCAACCUGUCGUCGGGGGGCGAUGGGCGGGGCGUUUCGUCAGCGGACGGUUCUGAGAGGGCGCGAGGUGUCGAUCUUUUAGGGUACUCGGAUGGGUGGCGCGCGGCGCGCGGGCCGCGACCGGGUCGACGGGCGCGACCGGACGGAAUGCGGUCGCGUCGUCGAGUUCACAUCGCGCUCACGACUGAUGCUCGAGCCAGAGACGGGUCGGCGAGGCGACGGGCGCCGUUCAAUCGCCCGGUUUCCGG
rnacentral:lncRNA from 1 species